AGCUGAGUAGAAGCUGGAGUAGGGGAGUUGCUGACUUGCCUUUCCAUACAGGCAUGAUGAAACUACUGCACUGCACUCAAGCUGCAGUAAAAAGUGAGAUGCUGUCAGAGGCCACGAAGCGGGUGCAAAUGAAAACCAGAGUUAUGCUAAUUUAAAAUGAGCAGCGGUCGUUGGAAUUAUUUGUGGCCUCGUGGUGCAGCAGGACGCAGCACAUCACUUGAAAAGCUGCAGUAUGUUUUCUGACAUCAUCGUGACCUGAUGUAAAACAUCCUGUGACAGUCUCCAAGGCCAACACCUUGGUGAGAUGAGGAGGAACAAAGGAAGCAGGACUCUACAUAGGCAGGCACCAACCUCAAGGUGACCCUACUUUGCUUUCCCACUCUGGCUGCGGUGGUAGUUGGCCCUGGACAGCUGCGUUCCGCUGCUCUGUGGCAUUGAGUUGGCAGCUUUGGACUCUACAGCAUUUUUGUAAUGACUUCUUUAAAGGUUUGAGACCUUCUCCAGGCAAGAAGGUCUUCUGGUUCAUCUCAGGUCCCACCACAACUGCAUUAAUGUUAGGGAAUAGAACCUGACCGUGCUUUUCUCUGAGGGACAUGUUGCAUCAACCAAAGGAAGGACAUUUAUAAUAUACAAAGUGCUCAUUGCUCCCUCAAAAGGCCUAUCCCUAGACUUUUAACUUUGUGUAAAGAUUAAAUGUUUGCCCUGCUCUAAGCUUUGAAAGAACAAAGUCCAGCAUCCCUAGCUAUGAUUUAUUAUUGCUGAAUUAAAAUCAUGUCUAUUUAAAACAAGUCUAGGAUGUUACUGACUUAAACUGAAGCAACUGGAGUGUUUCGUAUGGAUCAAAUAUAGUCCAUAAUUAACCAAUGCCAGCAUUAACGUUGUUACUGACAAUUUACAAUUAUAGUCCAUUUACCCAGUUCUUUAUUCUGUGAUUAUCCAAAGGAAACCCAUGAUAACUAUCAGCACAAUUAGUAAAGCAGACAUUUGAACUUGUUUAAACAACUGAACAUGAGAAAUAAGAAAAAGUAUUGGAGGAUUUUAUAGGUGUUAGGAAAAUUGGCCAAGAAACUAUCAUGAGCAUGCUAGUGACUCAUCUUUUUCAUUGUGUGAAAACGUUUUAGUGAUACCUUUCGAUAAGACAGGGAUACCUCUCAGGUAAUUACUCAACUGUGACCAGUUUCAGUUUCUUUCUUAACUCUUAAAACUGACAAAUUGAGAACAGUUUAAUUGGGCUACUCUAACAUGGAGCUUCCUGGAGAUCACUGGUUUAGGCUUGAAAACUUUGAACCUUGAAGCAGAGCUUUCUGCUUCUGGUUAAAGCACAUCUUUUUAAAAACAAACAAUCAAAAAAUGCACUCCUGUGGUUUUGCUUAGUUCUCCUCCUCUCAUCCGCAUUCUAUAUAUAUAGUAUG